UCCGGUUGAUCCUGCCGGAGAUCACUGUUAUCAGAAUUCGAUUUAGCCAUGCGAGGCGCGAGCUAUUUGGGCUCGCCGAACUGCUCAGUAACACGUAGCUAACCUAACCUCAAGUGGAGGAUAAUCUUGCGAAAGUGAGGCUAAUACUCCAUAGUUGUUGAUGGCUGGAAUGCUUUAACAAUCAAAGCCCCGGCGCUUGAGGAUGGGGCUGCGACCUAUCAUGGCUGCUGUGAGUGUAAAGUACUCACAAACCUGUAACGGGUAGGGGUCAUGACAGUGGGAGCCUCGAGAUGCCUUCUGAGACAUGAAGGCAGGUCCUACGGGACGCAGCAGGCGCGAAAACUUUCCAAUGGUUUAACGACUGACAAGGGAAUCCUGAGUGCAUGCACUAUGUGCAUGCUUUUAUCUUGCCUAAAAAGCAAGGUGAAUAACUGGUGGGUAAGACGGGUGGCAGCCGCCGCGGUAAUACCCGCGCCACUAAUAGUGAUCACGCUUAUUGGGUCUACAGAG
rnacentral:rRNA from 1 species